rnacentral:sRNA from 1 species
CAAAUGGGCAAAAAACAUUGGAGCUUUUAUUAAUCUCGAAUCGGUUGGAUCUGGAGGAAAAGAGAUGUUAUUUCAAAGUAGUGUCAAUAAUUCGUGGCUUGUUACCAUGUACGGCAAGUCAGUACCACAUCC